CGCGGUUUGGAGGCUGGGUGAUGGGCGUCGCUCUAGGCAUAGCCUCGUUUCGAGGCCCGGUUUCACGCUCGCGCGAUGGAGACCGGAUGCUGGGUGCUGGGCGGCGAAUUUGAGGAUUCGGUGUUCGAGCAGAAGCCGGAGCGCCAGCCUGAGCCGCCCUCCUCCUAUGGCGCCAAGCUCUGCGAGCCGCAGGUGAGACGGCUGUCCUCUUGCCACUCCUCACCCGAACCGGCUGCAGCAAGGUCCGCCACUGUCACUUUCCAGCCGCCCUGCAGUCUGAGGCUAGCAAGCCACCUCACUCUUCGAGCCUCCGGUUGUCUCUCCUGCAGGCCGGCCGGGGCUAGUAUAAUAAACCCCGCCGCUGCCCCCAGCCCUGCAGAAGUCCACAGUAGCAUCCUUGCAGGCCUGUUGGCUGCCUAGAAGAAUAAAAUGGUUUCAAGCU
rnacentral:lncRNA from 1 species